rnacentral:tRNA from 1 species
GGGAUGUGGCGGAAUGGUAGACGCGAGGGACUUAAAAUCCCUUGGUAGCAAUACCGUGAGGGUUCAACUCCCUCCAUCCCC